rnacentral:rRNA from 1 species
CCUACGAGAGGCAGCAGUCGAGAAUAAUUCGCAAUGCACGAAAGUUUGACGAUGCGACGCCGCGUGAACGAUGAAGGCCUUCGGGUUGUAACGUUCUGUUGCCCUAGAACAAGCGUAAUCGACAAAUAGUUGGUUACAAUGAGUGUAUAGGGAGAGGAAGCACCGGCUAAUUCCGUGCCAGCAGCUGCGGUAAUACGGAAGGUGCAAGCGUUAGUCGGAAUUACUGGGCGUAAAGGGUGCGUAGGCGGUAAGGUAAGUCGGGUGUGAAAUCCCAGAGCUCAACUCUGGAACUGCAUUCGAAACUGCUUUACUUUGAGGAAUGGCGGAGAAAAUGGAAUUCCAUAUGUAGCGGUGAAAUGCGUAGAUAUAUGGAAGAACACCUGUGGCGAAAGCGGUUUUCUAGCCUCCUCCUGACGCUAAGGCACGAAAGCAAGGGGAGCAAACA